GGCCAAACACUGCCAGUAUCUCGGGCAAAGCUUUACCUAAAUAACACGGAAGACAAAAAGCAAUUUCUAUUCAACGCUUUACUUUGUUGCAUUGUGAACGACAAAGAGAAAUAGACGUAACACUGUGUACAAACAAGUAAAUCCUGCAAAAUUGCGCCACCCCAGAAGGCAAGCUGCUCCACUGACCACAGAAAAGUAACUGCGUAUUUAUUCAAAGUACGGUGGCUAUUUAAAACAAGAAAGUUUUGAUUGUUAGCUGCACAGAGGAUUUUACGACCUGCUUUUUUAUUCCAAAUUCUGGCAGAGAAAGAAAACACCGGCGUUUCUAGUGCUCUAGAACAGCUCGCUAUCAUUUCUGAAUGUCUGAAUCUGACAGUCAGUCAGUCAUGUGACCAUUUCUCAUGGAAAGGCAAUGAAACGAUUUCAUGGAAGGGCAACGAUGUAUUGUCUAACAUUAACACCGGGAAGUGGAAGGUUAAUUUCUCAAAUGUUGUUAGAUAAGGUCGUUAUUGUUUGUAGUUGUUGUUUAAAGCAUUAUGCUAUCAUUCUUGUUGUUUAAUAACAUUCCAAAUAUUUUAUUCUUAGGAAAUAUAUAAUCAAUGAAAUUGUGAUAAAAGUACUUUUCCAAAA